ACGCUAGCGGCAGGCUUAAUACAUGCAAGUCGAGGGCUCAGCAAUGGGACCGGCGCACGGGUGCGUAACACGUAUGCAACCUGCCUGUAUCUGGGGGAUAGCCCGAGGAAACUCGGAUUAAUACCGCAUACUACUAUGAGACGGCAUCGUUUUGUGGUAAAAGAUUUAUCGGAUACAGAUGGGCAUGCGCAGGAUUAGCUAGUUGGUGUGGUAACGGCACACCAAGGCGACGAUCCUUAGGGGCUCUGAGAGGAGUAACCCCCACACUGGCACUGAGAUACGGGCCGGACUCCUACGGGAGGCAGCAGUAGGGAAUAUUGGGCAAUGGAGGCAACUCUGACCCAGCCAUGCCGCGUGCAGGAAGACGGCCCUCUGGGUUGUAAACUGCUUUUAAGUAGGAGGAAAGUGCAGCUUGCGAGCUGUUUUGACGUUACUACUAGAAUAAGCCACGGCUAACUACGUGCCAGCAGCCGCGGUAAUACGUAGGUGGCGAGCGUUAUCCGGAUUUAUUGGGUUUAAAGGGUGCGUAGGCGGCUUAAUAAGUCAGUGGUUAAAGGUAGCAGCUUAACUGUUUUACAUGCCAUUGAUACUGUUUAGCUUGAGUUAUCAGAAGGUAGAUGGAAUUCCUGGUGUAGCCGGUGAAAAUGCUUAGAUCCAGGAGGAACACCAAUUUGCGAAGGCAUUCUACUGCAGAUAAACUGACGCUC
rnacentral:rRNA from 1 species